AUAUAUAUAUACAUAUAUAUUCAGAAACACACACACCACACAUAAAUACCACAUUCACAUACACACCUCCUUCUUAUACCCUCCCAUACACAUACAUAUAAACACAAACUACACACACAUAAACACACACUAUACAUAUCACACACACACUGCACACAGCUACAUACAUACAUAACACACACACACACACACACACAUGCACACGCGCGCGUGCGCACACACACGCACAAAGUGGUUCCUUCUAGCUAUUAUUCAUCAUUUCUCUGCAUUCCCAAAUUUCCCAUGAUAUAAUUAGCAUCCCACAGUUUUAUAAUUGAAUGCUUUCUUUAAUUUCUUACUUCACAAUUCUUUAUUCUUAAAUGCAAAUCUACUCUUCCUAGUUAAGACUUUGAAAGCCAAGCCUUGGAGAUUUUGCUUGUAACGUUUGUAAUAUCUACAACUGUUAGGCACCUUGAGAGUACCUGCUGUGGUUUGGAACUGUCCCCCAAAGACUCUGGUGCUGAGGACUCAUUCCCAAUCUUAUUAUGCUAUUGGAUAGAUCCAAGAGACUCAUAAAACAUACAGUCUAUUGAUGUUGUCCCUGGUUUCCUGAGAGGUGAAAGGAAGAUCUCUAUUACUGAAGGAACAAUGUACUUCAGAAACAGGACCCCAAGACCCCUGAGCUGGAGUUGACCUGAAUGGUUCUUCCCCUGAGGACUAACUUUCAUGCAACUGGGAUGUUCAAUGCAAGCUUCCAAAGGACGGAGGCCAACAACAGUCCUUCCCAGGUAAGUGUGGUCUUCACCCCUAUCAAGGAAACCUCUUGCAACUGAGAGCACUACAGUAAACCACAACCAAGCAAAACGCAGAGUAGAGGAGCCCUGUCCCCAUGGAUACAUCUACAAAGCACUCUCACGAGACCCCAGGCUCAGGGAACACUGCAGGAGAGGGGCCUGAAGGAAGCCCCUCCUGUCAGAAUGCCUUUCCCAGUGCCUGCGAUGCAAGCCACUGUUUUCCUCUAGCGUUUCACCAGAGCUUCAUCCAGAGUCCAAACGGGCCGUCUCGACCAACCCUGUGUCCUCAGCGUGUUAAACCAUGCCUCACUUCAUUUUACAUACAGAUCGUUUAUCAGGAUAUGCAUUCGGGGGCUGUGCUGAAUGUCUGCCAUCCUUUGUGUCUGGCCACUGUCCAUUGCCUAACAAGCCCUGGGCCAUAAGGAAGUAGAAUUUGAAAGGAGAACAGAGUGUAUCUGGUUUUGCCAACCCCAGUCUAUGAAAAAGCAGGCAGGAGUUCUCUGCUGCCAGCACCGCUGGAGUCUGGAUCCAUCCAGCCCGCUCUUCAGGAGCCUGUGGAGGUCAGUGGUUCCUACCGCUCAGAACAAGAGUUUGGCUUUGACUCAGAUUUGGAAGGGCAUCCCCUCCUGCUUUGCUUAAACACUUGGUAUUAAAAAGAAGUGGACUCUCAAUACAAAAGAAAGACUGCAGUUGGAAUAAAGACCACGUGGUCUGUUCAGGGAUACAGGCAGCAUUGGAGACACAUGCCUUUAAUCUCAAUACCAACCAUAGAAGACCUGGAGGUCUGUACAGACAGGCAGUGACAAGGCGGUCAUGUGGUUGGGUUUACAACCAAAGAGAAGGCAGAACCGAAAGUCUUUAUAAAGACUUUAACACAGGAUGUAGCUCUCUUUCGGAGAGGUAGGACCACCGCAGGAGGAAGGAAACCACCGAAAAUCUUCAGCAAGAAGAUUUGGCCCAUUCACAGCAAGGCAGAAAGGAUCUCAGCGCUGAAAGGGGGAUGUGGACAUAAGAUCCCACCCCUAAGCAAGAAGUUAUCUUCAAUUGAUAAUCACUUGCAAAGGAAAAAUGAGUGUUCUCCAGUGGACUACACUUAAGGGCAGGCCCAAUGUCCAACGGUAAAAGGCCAAUACAAAACGAACUCAAUGAGCCUUCAUCCAGUAACUGAUGGAAGCAAAUGCAGAGAUCCACAGCCAAGCACCAGGUCAAGCUCCAGGAGUCCAGUUGAAGAGAGGGAAGAUUGACUCUAUGAGCAAGAGGGACCAAGAUCAUGAUGGGGAAAUCUACAGAGACAACUGAACCAAGCUCAUAGGAACUCACCAACUUUAGACCAUCAGUUGUGGAACCUGCGUGGGACUGGACUAGGCCUUCUGCAUAUGUGAGACAGUUGUGUAGCUUGGUCUGUUUGAGGGGCACCUGGCAGUGUGAUCAGGAUCUAUCCCCGGUGCAUGAGCUGCCUUUCUGGGGCCUAUUACCUAUGGUGGGAAGCCUUGAUCAGCCUUGAUGCAGGGAGGAGGGGCUUGGUCCUGCCUCAACUGAACGUACGAGGCUCUGCUGACUCCCCAUGGGAGCACUUACCCUUUUGGAGGAGAGGAUU